GACGAACGCUGGCGGCGUGCCUAAUACAUGCAAGUAGAACGCUGAAGAGAGGAGCUUACUCUUCUUGGAUGAGUUGCGAACGGGUGAGUAACGCGUAGGUAACCUGCCUUGUAGCGGGGGAUAACUAUUGGAAACGAUAGCUAAUACCGCAUAACAAUGGGUGACACAUGUCAUUUAUUUGAAAGGGGCAAUUGCUCCACUACAAGAUGGACCUGCGUUGUAUUAGCUAGUAGGUGAGGUAAUGGCUCACCUAGGCGACGAUACAUAGCCGACCUGAGAGGGUGAUCGGCCACACUGGGACUGAGACACGGCCCAGACUCCUACGGGAGGCAGCAGUAGGGAAUCUUCGGCAAUGGGGGCAACCCUGACCGAGCAACGCCGCGUGAGUGAAGAAGGUUUUCGGAUCGUAAAGCUCGGUUGUAAGUCAAGAACGGGUGUGAGAGUGGAAAGUUCACACUGUGACGGUAGCUUACCAGAAAGAGACGGCUAACUACGUG
rnacentral:rRNA from 1 species